CCACGCCUGGAGAUGGGAGGUCCUGGAUUCAAAUUUGACAUCAGACACUCCCUAGCUGUGUUACUCUGAGAAAGUCACAACCCCAAUUGCUUGGUCCUUACUACUUGUUUUUUUUUUUUAAGGGUAUUGGCUAAGAAAGCCUUUGAGAUCCCUUCCUGCUCUGACAUUUUGCUCCCUGGUCUUUGUAGCCUACCUACCUCAGACAUCAUCAGGACCAUCAGAGUUCCCUUCAGAUGUCACAAAACCACCACCCCCUCCAUUAUAUAGGAACUUAGGAGGCUCGCUACAAUUCAGAGUUUACCACAAAGAAACCUUCUAGGAAAAACCCUCCCCAGUCGUCCCCACGCCACCGCCAUGAUGUAUUGUGUUCAGGAUCCCGGAUGUGAGGGAGGGCGGGCGCAGGGGCUCCGGCCAGAAGGAAAUGGGUCUUACGAGGGGGAGAAAGGAUCCCACCACCAUCCAUUUCCUGACAAAGGCUUUCCUGCAAGAAAGCCACUCUCAGAGGUGUGAGUAAGUUCUCUAAAUAAGUGCUGGGCUGCCUGUUUUAACCUUCACACUUCUCAGCGGGCUUCCUGUUUAUCCUAGACUUCAUCUCAUGCAAGACUAUCCUGCAGUGUCCUGGAUGACUGACAUGCCAUGCCCUGUGAUGGGGAUGAUUUGGGACUUCCUGGGCAGUGCCCACAACAACGGACGUGGUAGGCCUUUGGCAGGAGCAAUAAUUCAUAUUUUGGCCAGGGUGAUUUUGAUCGCUUGGCCAAGGCCUGGGCUCCUCCCAGAGCCAGGAGCCCUCGGGGAACUGCCCCAGCUGCAUUCCAAGUGGCAGCCUUUGUGCAAUGGGUUCCCAGGGUGAGGGAGGGUUAGGCUCCAAAAGGGGAGGCUCCAGGAGGCCCCCUGGGAGUCCAGUCCUUUGUGGCAGGAGAGGCAGCAAGAAGCUAAACUGCCUCAAGCAUUUCCUUCCUGACCUCCCCAGGAAUUAAGGUGGCAGCCUAUGAAAGCCCUUGCUCAGCCCCCAUAGGGGUUUGGUCCAAAGUCUAGGCUUUGAAAAUCUUAAUGGCACAUCAUUGAGGGACAGGGAGAAGCAAGGUUUGAGAGGGAAUGUGGAAAUUAAAUUGUUUUCCACACCCCUCUAACCCAGGUUUACCAAUAUGCUCUGAGCUUGAUUAACUUCAAAAAACAUUUGCUAAGGCCAAGGGCCUGCCUCAGGUGAAACUGUGCUGGUUGUAGGUGAUCUAGAGAGCCUAGGACUGGGUCCUCACUCCCAAGUCACUUACAGUUGGACAGGGAAGCUAAGACUGGGAUAGGCACAGCUCUGAAACAAGACAGAACGACCCACGCUAGAGGACAGGGACAAUGAGGAACACUGGUAGGACGCAGGAAGGGGAUGUCCCUUCCAGCUGGGGAUCAGGAAAGGUUUUAUGGAAGAGAUAGCAUUUGAGUAGGAGUAUGAAGAAUCACAGGAUGCAAAAAGAGAUAGAGAGGGAGGGAGGUGCACAGGAUCUCUUAGAUAUCAUAAUUUCUUCCAUGAAAUGUCAUGUCCCAGAUCCAUCUUGUGCCAGUGGUGGCUUGAAGAAAAUCACUUUGCUUUGAGCCUCAGUUUCUCCAUCUGUAAAAGGUUCUUCCCCCCACCCCCAUAAAAGGGGCUGAAUAACACUUGUACUGCCUACCUCUCAGAAAUAGGAGAAAAGAGCUUGCUAAAUUGAAGUACUGCGCAAUAUAAGCUACUCUUUGGGGUUGGAACAGGACUUUUGAUUUCAUUCAUAAAAGAAAACUUUAGAUGAUGAGGCUCUCUCUACCACUGCAGGGCUAGACUUGUGCUGCAAUGUAGAAUGUCGUCUGGGCCACUGAGAGGAGAAGGGGCAUGCCCGGGGUCACAUAAGCCAGGCUGGGUCUGAGGCAGGACCUGAAUCCAAAACUCUGAGAGUCUGGCUCUCUCUCUACUCUGCCAAGCUGCUUCUUUGGCAGGCUGGGCUUUAAUUAUUUAUAUCUAUGUAGUAUUUGUGUUUUAUCCUUGUGUUUAAAUACCAAAUAAAACUAGCAUUUCCCAUACAUAUUUUAGAACAGAAGGAGGGGAUUGCCCAUAAAGAUUUUCUUCAUAAUAAAUUCAUAUCACAACUUUUUUGCUGUCUUGCUUAUCUGAUUCUUUCUGUCCUUCCUUCUCUUUUGCUCUCCUCUGUUCUUUCUGCUUCUUUCUCUUCCUAUAGUCUCUCUCCUUGCACCCCUUUCCACCCCCCAGUCUUACUCAAAUACAUUUCUUGGGCAAGUUUUUAUACCUCAUUCUUUUCCUCUGUAAAAUGAAGUUUCCCCACUCCCACCCCCAUUACUCUGGACACUGCCCAGAAUUGGAUGGUUUCUAAGACUUCUUCUAAUUUUAACAUUCUAGGACUCUGAUGCCAGAUGACUUGUUUGUAAAUCAAGGCAUGGCUAGAAUCCUUUAAAAAGAUGACUAGAGGUGAUCUUGUUUUCCAUGGGAUAUCAUUGAUCCAAGGUGAAGACAGUUUGGAAAAAUCUCUCUCCCUAAGAAGUACUGGGUUUCCAAAGGGGUUCAGCAACCUCCAGAGUUGCCUUGAUGGAAGAGCAGGAUUCUUUAUCUGUGCAGCAUUUUCACUCAGGACUUCUCCAUCUGGCUAUCUCCUUUCCAGAAUUUUUAUAUAUUUUUAUUUUUACCAAUUACAUGUAAUAAUAAAUUUCCACACAACUUUUCCUAAAUACAUGGUUGAAUUUAUCUACCUCCUUCCAGAAUUUUUAGCUAGUCUAGUUUUUCAUGGAAUGAGACUAGAUUAAAGGCACUAAAUACCCAAAGAGAGAAAAAUGGAAAGUUGAAAAGGUAAAGUGUGUAGUGCUCAGAACCUUAAACUCUCUGCUGACUACAGGCUCUUGCUCCUAGUUUUUUCCUAGCUGCUGAUUUCCAGUGUGCUGCUCUCCCAUUAUGCUGAUUUUGGGGCAAAUAAUAAGUAUUUAAUAAAUAACAUGGAUUUAUCCCAUUCCAUCCUCUCCUCCCACCAAAGUAAUGUCAAUUUGUCUGGCUACCUUGGACAGAGCUUCUGAUGAUCCUGGCCUUCUAUAAGUUCCUGGCUGAAAAAAGGACACUAUCAUUCAGAAACCUUUUUGUUGUGAAGAGUCUAGGGAAAUAGAAAGAGAAUUAGGGAGGAGCAAUCAGGGAAGGCUAAAUGCAACAGGUGGUGCUGGAACUUAUUCCUGAAAGAAGAGGAUUUCAACAGGCAGAGACAAGGAAUGAGGCAUGGCCUACUUAUGUUCCUAUGGACAGACGACAAUGGGAUGAGAUCCAGGAACAGUUAGUGGUUUAGUUUGGCUGAAAUACAGAGUACAUGAGUAUGCAGAGAGGUGCAAUGUGAAAUAAAACUGGGAACAGAUUUUGGAACCCCUUAAAUGUUAAGAUAAGGAGUUUGGGGACCAACCAUGACUCCAGGGGGCUGCUGAUCAAGCAUGUUACUCUUCUGAUAGACAUGUGAGGGACCCAACCUACAGAAUGAGAUGUGUAGUUCUGAUAUGGCCAACAUAGAAGUUUGGUUGGCUUGACUAUACAUAUUAAUUAUAGGGGUUUUAUUUUUCUUUCCUUUCCAUUGGAGAAGGGGAUAGAGAGGUGGUAGGAAGAGAUGCUUGUUGACUCAAAAUAUUGGCAAUAGGAAGCGACAAUAAGUUUUUUGAUUGGAAGAAUGAAAUAUUUACAUCUUUGCCUAUGGAAGGUUAGUUUAGCAGCCGUGUAAAAAUUCACUAGGCAAAGGGAAAAGACUAGAAGCAAAGAGAGUGAAUAGAAAGCAAUUAAAAUAGUCCAUCUGAUGUGGGCCUGAACUAUGGUGGUAGCAAUGUGAGGAUAGAGGACAAUGUGAGAGAAAUCAUGGACACAAAAUUAGCAGAACUUGGAAACUGACUGGAUAUGGUGGUAGAUGAACGAAGACAGUUCAGAAUUGUCCCAAUGUUAUAUUUAUGUUAUGUGGUGCAGUGAAAGACAUAUGACUACCAACUACAUAAUAAAUAUUAAGAGAACAUGGAAUUGUAGAGUGAGUGAAUAUAAGUGGGUGAAUGAUGAAAAAGUAAAUUUUGAAAGUAUUUAUUAAUCAGUUACUAUGUGCCAAGUACUGUGCCAUGUACAAAGGAUACAGAAACAAAAAUUUGGGAAGUUCUUAUCCUCAAAGACCUUAUAAUCUAAUGAGAAGAGAUAAGACACUGGUCAGGAAGGUAUGUUUUGGUUUGGACAGUUACUUCUUGUUGAGUUUAGUCAAAGAAUAGAUUGGCACAUAUUUUCCAGGAUCAAUGGCAGUAUUGAUUUUAUUAUGAUUAUAGAGCCAAAAAUUGAGAUUUGGGGAAGGAUGAUUGGUGAGAAGUUGGCCAAAGGGCAGAGAAAGAGUUCUAGCAGAAGGAUUGAAUCCUCCAGGGACUUUAGUGUGACAACUGCAAAAUAGCUAGGAAUAAACCACUGAAGAUGAGUUUUCAUGGGUGAGGGUAGAGGGGGAUUCUGAAGACUGGAUUUGGCAAAGAGGUGAAGGGAAAUUGAGAUCCAAAAAAGACCUAUUUUACAGUGUUUUACUAGAAAAGUCUGUGACAAGGAAAUCACUUUAAAAGACUGAUAUAUAUUAAUUUAAGGUCGCCAAGGAAUUCAGCUAUGUAAUUCCUAAAUGAAAACUCAAGUCAGCAGUCAACCUUUUAUGGAGUUUAAUUACAAACAGGAGGAAGAAAGGUAUGAGAGAGAGAGAGAGAGAGAGAGAGAGAGAGAGAGAGAGAGAGAGAGAGAGAGAGAGAAAGAGAGAGA